CUACGGGCUGCACCAGUGGGGAAUAUUGCACAAUGGGAGGCAGCGGGAGGAAGGAACGCCGCGUGAGGGCUUAAGGCCUUCGGGUUGUAAACCUCUUUUAGCAUUUAAUCCGCGCACGGGAAGGGAAGUGCAGAAAAAGCACCGGCUAACUACGUGCCAGCAGCCGCGGUAAUACGUAGGGUGCAAGCGUUGUCCGGAAUUAUUGGGCGUAAAGAGCUCGUAGGCGGUUUGUCACGUCUGCUGUGAAAAUCCAAGGCUCGACCUUGGACUUGCAGUGGGUACGGGCAGGCUAGAGUGCGGUAGGGGAGAUGGGAAUUCCUGGUGUAGCGGUGGAAUGCGCAGAUAUCAGGAGGAACACCAAUGGCGAAGGCACAUCUCUGGGCCGUAACUGACGCUGAGGAGCGAAAGCGUGGGGAGCGAACAGGAUUAGAUACCCCUGUAGUC
rnacentral:rRNA from 1 species